AGCUCCAUUGGCGUAUAUUAAAGUUGUUGCGGUUAAAAAGCUCGUAGUUGGAUCUGUGUAUCGGACGGUCGGUUCGCCGCCCGCGGUGUUUAACUGACCGGUCCGGACGUCCUGCCGGUGGGUCCUCGGUUCACGCCGGGGCCCGUAACUCCCUCCGUGCUGCUCUUAACCGAGUGGUACGGUGGGCCGGCACGUUUACUUUGAACAAAUUUGAGUGCUCAAAGCAGGCCUUAUGUUGCCUGAAAACUGUGUGCAUGGAAUAAUGGAAUAGGACCUUGGUUCUAUUUUGUUGGCUUUUCUGAACUCGAGGUAAUGAUUAAUAGGGACAGACGGGGGCAUUCGUAUUGCGACGUUAGAGGUGAAAUUCUUGGAUCGUCGCAAGACGAACCGAUGCGAAAGCGUUUGCCAAGAAUGUUUUCGCUAAUCAAGAACGAAAGUUAGAGGUUCGAAGGCGAUCAGAUACCGCCCUAGUUCUAACCAUAAACGAUGCCAGCCAGCGAUGCGCCGAAGUUAAUUUAAUGACUCGGCGCGCAGCUUCCGGGAAACCAAAGCUUUUGGGUUCCGGGGGAAGUA
rnacentral:rRNA from 1 species